rnacentral:tRNA from 1 species
AAGAUUUUAAGUUAAUUAAACUUCAAACCUUCAAAGUUUUAUAUAUAUACAUAUAAAUUAUUUAAAUCUUA